rnacentral:lncRNA from 1 species
CUGAGACGCCUGCUGAUUCCGGACUUCCCAGCUUCCCGUCAGCACCCCUAGCCUCUCUGGGAUCUGUGCUCAGAAAAUCAAUUUGGAAUGAGGCUAAGAAGGCAAUUCUUUAAAGCCCAGGAAGGCAUUGGCAGGACAGAGAAUCUGAAACAAACAAAGCCUUGGUAAGUUUAUCAUCAGUCAAGACACUCAGGACUUGUUCAUAAGUGGGUUACAAAGCAAA